AUUGAACGCUGGCGGCAGGCCUAACACAUGCAAGUCGAACGGUAACAGGAAGCAGCUUGCUGCUUUGCUGACGAGUGGCGGACGGGUGAGUAAUGUCUGGGAAACUGCCUGAUGAGGGGGAUAACUACUGGAAACGGUAGCUAAUACCGCAUAACGUCGCAAGACCAAAGAGGGGGACCUUCGGGCCUCUUGCCAUCAGAUGUGCCCAGAUGGGAUUAGCUUGUUGGUGGGGUAACGGCUCACCAAGGCGACGAUCCCUAGCUGGUCUGAGAGGAUGACCCAGCCACACUGGAACUGAGACACGGUCCAGACUCCUACGGGAGGCAGCAGUGGGGAAUAUUGCACAAUGGGCGCAAGCCUGAUGCAGCCAUGCCGCGUGUAUGAAGAAGGCCUUCGGGUUGUAAAGUACUUUCAGCGGGGAGGAAGGUGUUGUGGUUAAUAACCACAGCAAUUGACGUUACCCGCAGAAGAAGCACCGGCUAACUCCGUGCCAGCAGCCGC
rnacentral:rRNA from 1 species